GACGAACGCUGGCGGCGUGCUUAACACAUGCAAGUCGAACGGAAAGGCCCUGCUUUUGUGGUGUGCUCGAGUGGCGAACGGGUGAGUAACACGUGAGUAACCUGCCCUUGACUUUGGGAUAACUUCAGGAAACUGUGGCUAAUACCGGAUAGGAGCUCCUGCUGCAUGGUGGGGGUUGAAAAGUUUCUGCGGUUGGGGAUGGACUCGCGGCUUAUCAGCUUGUUGGUGGGGUAGUGGCUUACCAAGGCUUUGACGGGUAGCCGGCCUGAGAGGGUGACCGGCCACACUGGGACUGAGAUACGGCCCAGACUCCUACGGGAGGCAGCAGUGGGGAAUAUUGCACAAUGGGCGGAAGCCUGAUGCAGCAACGCCGCGUGCGGGAUGACGGCCUUCGGGUUGUAAACCGCUUUCGCCAGUGAAGAAGCGUGAGUGACGGUAAUGGGUAAAGAAGCACCGGCUAACUACGUG
rnacentral:rRNA from 1 species